rnacentral:rRNA from 1 species
ACUCCUACGGGAGGCAGCAGUGGGGAAUAUUGCACAAUGGGGGAAACCCUGAUGCAGCCAUGCCGCGUGUGUGAAGAAGGCCUUGGUUGUAAAGCACUUUCAGUAGGGAGGAAGGUAGUGUAGUUAACACCUGCAUUAUUUGACGUUACCUACAGAAGAAGCACCGGCUAACUCCGUGCCAGCAGCCGCGGUAAUACGGAGGGUGCGAGCGUUAAUCGGAAUUACUGGGCGUAAAGCGCAUGCAGGCGGCCUGUUAAGUCAGAUGUGAAAGCCCGGGGCUUAACCUCGGAAUUGCAUUUGAAACUGGCAGGCUAGAGUCUUGUAGAGGGGUUAGAAUUUCAGGUGUAGCGGUGAAAUGCGUAGAGAUCUGAAGGAAUACCAGUGGCGAAGGCGGCCCCCUGGACAAAGACUGACGCUCAGAUGCGAAAGCGUGGGAGCAAACAGGAUUAGAUACCCCUGGUAGACUGUCA